rnacentral:rRNA from 1 species
CCGCGUGUGUGAUGAAGGUCUGAGGGUUGUAAAGCACUUUCAACUGGGAGGAAAAGCUGGCAGUUAAUAACUGUCAGCCGUGACAUUACCAGUACAAGAAGCACCGGCUAACUCCGUGCCAGCAGCCGCGGUAAUACGGAGGGUGCGAGCGUUAAUCGGAAUUACUGGGCGUAAAGAGUACGUAGGCGGUUAGUCAAGUCAGAUGUGAAAGCCCUGGGCUCAACCUGGGAACUGCAUUUGAAACGGGCUGACUAGAGUUUGAGAGAGGGGAGUGGAAUUUCCGGUGUAGCGGUGAAUGCGUAGAGAUCGGAAGGAACACCAGUGGCGAAGGCGACUCCCUGGAUUAAAACUGACGCUGAGGUACGAAAGCGUGGGUAGCAAACAGGAUUAGAUACCCUGGUAGUCCACGCCGGAAACGAUGAGAACUAGUUGUUGGGAUCAAUUGAGGUCUUAGUAGCGCAGCUAACGUGAUAAGUUCUCCGCCUGGGGAGUACGGCCGCAAGGCUAAAACUCAAAUGAAUUGACGGGGGCCCGCACAAGCGGUGGAGCAUGUGGUUUAAUUCGAUGCAACGCGAAGAACCUUACCUACUCUUGACAUCCUCAGAACUUGUUAGAAAUAACUUGGUGCCUUCGGGAACUGAGUGACAGGUGCUGCAUGGCUGUCGUCAGCUCGUGUCGUGAGAUGUUGGGUUAAGUCCCGUAACGAGCGCAACCCUUAUCCUUAGUUGCCAGCACAUAAUGGCGGGAACUCUAAGGAGACUGCCCGGUGAUAAACCGGAAGAAGUGGGGGACGACGUCAAGUCAUCAUGGCCCUUAUGAGUAGGGCUACACACGUGCUACAUGGCCAGUACAGAGGGUUGCAAACUCGCGAGAGUAAGCUAUCUCAGAAAGCUGGGUCGUAGUCCGGGAUUGCAGUCUGCAACUCGACUGCAUGAGUCGAUCGCUAGUAUCGCGGAUACAGACGCGCGUGAUACGUUUCCCGGGCUUGUACACACCGCCCGUCACACCAUUGGGGAAGGUGGGUUUGCC